ACCUGUCAGAGUAUCAGCUGCCUACAAAUGAUUUCUUAACUGCCAUUCACUCAGCAAGAAAUAAAUAAACAAGACAUUGUUUAUUUGCAAUUUCUAACUCUGAUCUGGGAUUCCAUGUGAUGGGAUAACAGGAUACAAAAACGGUCGGAAGGCCGAAGACAGCACAGCAGCCCAAGACGUGCAGCUGGAGAAGGUGGAGGACCUGAAGCAGGCUGCUGAAGGCCUCCAAACCAUCGCAACCACCGCACACCACCUGUCUGAGGUGGCACAAAGCCAUUUGGCCAGACCAGGCCUGCAGCGCGCCAAGGAGGCAAUAGCCUGCCUUGUGUGCAAAGCUGUAAUGGAGGACCCAGUGUUUGCCACCUGCUGCGGGUCCUUGGUGGGAUGCAGGACCUGCAUCGACCAGUGGUGUGAAACAGCAGACACCUGCCUCAAGUGUCGGGCAAUCAGUUUCGCCGACAAAGUCCA